GGUUGACAGAGCAAGUCUAUUGCUAGCAGCAAGACUUUUAUUAAAUUUUUAGAUUUUAUCCAAGUUUUGCACAUCACGUUGUAGACGUUGCGUGAUAAUAUUUGGGUAUUCGUUUCGAAUUGAAGGAUGGGGGACCACGCGAACCAGAACCACGAUGAAGUACCCACUCUGGAAGGUGUCAUAUGGCACGAUGUGGUGGACAGAAUCGAAUUUGAAUGCCGGGCAUUCAGCACUGGUAAUAUGGAUGCACUGGAACGUCGACGUCAGUGGAGUGUGCCCUUAAUCGUGUGAUGCCCUGGAAUGAUGUACACUUUUCCCGAAUCAAUCUACCCCAUUCGCAUUCCUUUGAGUGCAACAAUCCCGCAUGAUGACCGAAAAUAUGGGUGCCACAACGCGAGUUUGCAUCGGAACAGCCACUUUCUGGUGUAUUCCUUCACUUCUGCAAUUCCAUUGCAAUUAUUUCGAACGUCAUAUUCGCCGGGUAAUUCUAGUUAUGUUUAUUGAAAUGGAAUCCAAUCGCGUUCUAUACUAUAUCAAAAAUAUCCAAUCCAAUAUACCAACAACUAUCUUUAUGGUACAAAUAUAUCCCUGACCAGAAAAGUGGAUUAAAGUAUCAAAGUGAAUUAUUUUGUAUAAA